UCUUAAGGGGCUUAUAAAAGGUCUUAAAGUUGAAGACUAUUAUGAUUUGGAUGUGAAAACGACAUCACCACAAGCUGAUAUGAAUCAAAAACAGACAUACUUGACCACAACUCUUAAGACAGAGAGAGUAUGAAAUUAAACACAGAGUAUGAAAAUAGACAGAUGACUGACUACAUGUCAGUUUUUGGCUUGUUGGAUGGAAAACAAUGGCUUAAUCCAAGUCUUAAGACAGAGAUUAUGAAACAAACAUUGAGUUGGUUUUGACUUGAUUGCUGGGAAAAACUACCAACAACAGGUUAAACCAAGUCUUAAGACAGAGAGUAUAGACCAAAAAUUGAGUUUCUUGCUACACACAGCUCAUGAAAGGUCUUCAAGAUGAAGACUAUGAACUGGAUGUAAAAACGACUAACCGUGGAUGGAAAACAAUGGCUUAAUCCAAGUCUUAAGACAGAGAUUAUGAAACAAACAUUGAGUUGGUUUUGACUUGAUUGCUGGGAAAAACUACCAACAACAGGUUAAACCAAGUCUUAAGACAGAGAGUAUAGACCAAAAAUUGAGUUUCUUGCUACACACAGCUCAUGAAAGGUCUUCAAGAUGAAGACUAUGAACUGGAUGUAAAAACGACUAACCGUGGAUGGAAAACAAUGGCUUAAUCCAAGUCUUAAGACAGAGAUUAUGAAACAAACAUUGAGUUGGUUUUGACUUGAUUGCUGGGAAAAACUACCAACAACAGGUUAAACCAAGUCUUAAGACAGAGAGUAUAGACCAAAAAUUGAGUUUCUUGCUACACACAGCUCAUGAAAGGUCUUCAAGAUGAAGACUAUGAACUGGAUGUAAAAACGACUAACCGUGGAUGGAAAAAUACGACCACCGGUUUAAUUGCACACAAACCUACUACUUGUUGGAUGGAAAAAACUACCUGCGGCUUAGAAAAGUCUUACACAAAGACAAUGGUUGUUUGAGUUGUUGUAUGGUAAACACGACUUAAACAUAGACUAUGAACCAAAACAAUAAUCAAAAGGCUUAAUAACCACUAGACAGAGAAGGACCAAAAGCUGAAAAAGAGUUUAAGACAGGUUAUAUGAAUCAAAAACAGACUCCUUACUUCACCACAAGCCUUGGCAAAGUAUUUAGACAAAUGGAAAACAACCACUGGCUUAAACCAAGUCUUAAGACAGAGACUAUGACCCAAAGUAGAGUUUGUUUUUGGCUUGAUGGAAGGGGAAAACGACCGAUGGCUUAAACUAAGUCUUAAGACAGAGACUAUGAGCCAAAAUUGAGUUCGUUUCUGGCUUGAUGGAAGGAGAAAACGACCAACUGAAUGGCCUAAACCAAAUCUUAAGACAGAGACUAUGAUGAACCGAAAUUGAGUUGGUUUUUGGCUUAUUAGAUGGGGAAAGUGACUAACAACUUAAACCAAGUCUUAAGACAGAGACAAAUGAACUGAAAACUGAUUAUGUGCUUUACUAUCCGGGACUUAAAAAAGUUCUCAAAUAGUGUUACCCGAAACUAUGAAUGGGAUAUAGAAAGUCUUUAGACCAAAGAUUCGACUUGUUAGAUAAGAAAAAGACUAUGAAUGUCUAACACAUUCAUUACUUUACCACUCACAACGUAAAAUUCACAAGGUAAGAAUGAGGCAUUUAAGUGAAGCAGAGACUGAUUAAUUCUGAAUUUUGCAGGUAUGUAUGUGCUACUUCAAAUUGUUAGAGACUUAUAGAAGAUUUCAAGUGUAGCAGAUUUCUUUGACAGGUAUGUGCAUUUCAAAUUUGUUUGUAAUUUAGUUGGUACAAUUAUGAAAAUUGAGACACAAACAUGAAGUAAAGAUUAGUUUCAUCUGUUCAGGUUUGUGCUUCAUAAACUGCUCAUAUCUUCAUUGAGGCAAAGGCUUUCUCAGGUAUAUGCUUUUCUUGACUUUGCUCUUGUAUAAAUGGGUUUCUUUACUUACGAAAAUUUACAAAGCUAAGUGAUAUAUGCGUAGAUAAAAGAAACUGGAAAUGAAUAUCUAUGCUCCAUUUAAUCUGACUAGUCAACAUUUCUAUCAUUGGUUUAGCUAGCAUCCGUGAGAUUCUAGAAAAUUAAUUCCUAACAUAUCCACUGAUGAACAGGUAGAUUUUCUAUUUUGAUUUUGGAGCAUUACUUUUUUUGUUUUCAGUAUUUGUAAUCUCUAUUGCAUGUAUUAUAAGGUCUCUAAUUUUGUCAAAUAAAUAUACCUAGUAGCUCUUGUAGAUCAAAGUAGGUGAGAGACACUCCUGCAUCUUGUGGUGCUAGUUUUCUUAAGUUUCGAAUGUUUCUGUUUUGUGUUAUUCUCCUGACCUUCACUGAUCAUUCUAAAUAGUGUUAAUAAAACUAUUUAUAGUUUGGUACUUGUAUGCAUUGUAAGGUCUCUCACUUUGUGAAAUGGAUGUAUCUUGUAGUAAGUGAGAGCCUCCUGCAGAUUUGUGGUGCUAAUUUCAUUGAAUUUCGAAUGUUUCUGUUUUUGUGUAAUCUCUCUCUAUUGCAUGUAUUAUAAGGUUUCUAAUUUGUUGAAAUGGAUGUAUCUUGUAGUCUCUUGUAGAUCAAAGUAGGUGAGGCUCUCCUGCAGAUUCGGGUGGUAGUUUCAUUGAAUUUCAAAUGUUUCUGUUUCUGUGUCAAUACUCCUCCUAACCCUGAAUGAUCGUUCUAAACAUGUACAGUGUUAGUAUUCUCUUUAGUUUGGUGCUUUCAUCUACUACAAGGUUUCUCAUUUUAUGAAAUAGAUGUAUCUCUUGUAGAUUCAACAUAUCUGAAAGACUAGAGAUGGUGGUAGUAGUUUCUUUGCAUCUUGAAUGUUAUGUUUUCUUUAAUGCUCUUUACCCUGGGUGAUCAUUUUAAACAUGUGAAAUGACAUCUCUACGCUGAUGAUUACUAUGUUAGAUUAUUUAAAUUGUAUAUGUUGACUUGAAAAUUUCAAUUGUUAUGGUACUUGUAUCUAUGCCUUGGUUUGUGAGUCUUGUCAAAAAUAUACAUCACUUAAUUUUCACAAUUUAUGGAAUUCUUCAUCAUAUGCUGAUGAACACGUUACAUUUAUAGAUUUAAAUGUUGAAUUGAGUUUUACUAUAACAGUGAUCGAGAAUUCUAUGUUAUAUACAUGUGUCUAUCCUGUGAUCUCUUAGUCGUACAGAGCCGAUGAAUCUUCUUAAGUUUCUAUGAUUGAUGUCAAAUUCAAGAAAGUAGUUGUAUGUAAAGUCUAGUAGUUGUAAACAUUUGGAAUAGGUGCUCUGGUCUUCUCUUCUCUUUAGGUCGACUAAAUGUGAUGUCAGAUAUUUUUUCUGAAAAUUAUUGACUCUAGUUUAUGUACAAAACCAUCCAAUUUUCUGUUUGUUGUCCGUCAAAUUAUCACACUGAAUUACUAUUACAUACUAAAAUAAUAAGACUCGGAUGUGUUAUAUGAUCAUCUAAGGAACGGCAUAAUGUGAUUGGAGAGUCAUGCUAUUGUAGAUAAGAUUCAGCUGUAAUCUUUAACGAAAAAUAAACUUAGUUGUUGUCUGUCUAAACUAAAGAUCAUUUGAAUUUUGAUGUUAUGUACAUAUAAACAGUAAUGUCUUUAUGUACUUUUCAGCUGUGGUAGAAUGUUCUUGCAUUUUGGUUGGUUUAUCCUAUGGUGUAUGAAUUAUUGAUUAUCUUAUUGCAUAUUGCUCUUUAGAAUAUAAUUAGCUAUUGUAUAAAUUGAUUUCUCGACUCUUUCAGUCAUAAAUUGAUUCUUGUACGUUUAUCAUAAAUUAAAGAGAAAUUACUUAGAAUAAAUCUAAUUAAUCUAAAAAUUACUAGAAUGACUCAUAUUAAAUUUUAAUUACUAGACUAAAAUGAGAUACAAGCAAAUUUACCGAAAACCCAUUUCUAACUUGAUUAACUACAAGUUUGCCUUUAUAGUAAGUUAAAAAAAUGGAAAAUAUAGGUUAAAAUAAUAAAAAUAAUAAUAAUUAGAAAAGAAGGUGACGACAAAAAAAAAAUUAGAAAAGAAGAAAAGAGUUUAUCGGGUCUCUCUCACGAGUCACGGCGUCGACGAAACUGGAGGUGAAGCCAUCUCCGAUCGAGAGUCGCCGUCAUCCCUAUCCCACUCCUGCAAUAUCUACUCCGACGCUGUCGUCGUUAAUUUCGGCACCUCCUCGCCAAGUCGCCAUCGUCCCUGUCGUGUAAGCCCUAGGUCUGAUUUGUCUUUCCUUUUAAAUCGACGAAAUUGAAAUUGUGCGAGCUGUCACUGUCCAUGCAACGAAUAAAUACUCUGUGUCUGCAUCGCUUUGACAGUGCUUGGUGCUUCUAUGAUAUGUCCUCCGGUUUAUGCUUUGCCCAGAUUCGGAAGAAGAUGGGUUUGUUCUUGUUGAUGUUUCAUCUUCUAGGUCUCAUGGAGAAAGGCUCGUCUACAGUUUGCAUCUUCAAAUGGGAAACAUAAAUAAUCACGAGCUGACGUGCGAAGAGCUAAGCCAGAGAAUGUAUACUUGUAUGAGGAAUGCGGAAACUCGUUUAGAUGAUAAUCUGUUCUUGUUUCUUUUAGUUAUGUCAUCUGUUUCUCAACAUGUAACAUUCAUGUAGCCGAGUUGUUUCGUUUAUUUUCUUGUCGAAAUCAAUGAUCGAUUAUCACA